AAGAGCGUAGUAUAAUUGGUUAGUAUUAUGAUCUCCAAAAUCGUCGAUAGGUGUUCGAUUCACCUCGCUCUUG
rfam:Gloeophyllum trabeum ATCC 11539 unplaced genomic scaffold GLOTRscaffold_00269, whole genome shotgun sequence.